GCCUGGGUGGCUCAACAGGUUAAGCGUCUGACUUCAGCUCAGGUCACAAUCUCAUGGUUAGUGGGUUCAAGCCCCAUGUCGGGCU
rnacentral:tRNA from 1 species